GUUCAUCUGUAAUCUUGGCCGAAAAGACUUCACAGGUAUAUAUUGUGAGAACUGAGAACAGGCUUCGUGCUUCCCCUUCUGCUAAAAAUGUGCAAGCAGAACAGCUCAAGCUUUUGUUUUACAACUUCACAAAUAAAUUUUUCUUUUCACCACACACACACAAAUUCUCUGGAUUUUUUUUCUUAACUCACUAGUUCACACUCAAUUUGCAGAAUAUGUAUUUUUCCUUCUCGUUGUCUUCAUUGCUUUUCACAACUUGUGCGGUGUGAUUUAUAAGAGACUAUAAUCAAGCAUGGGUUGAAAAUCGGAGAUAG
rnacentral:misc_RNA from 1 species